GGAUAAAACCCCAGAGAACCAAAAGAGAAGUUCUGAUUCAUCUCUUCACGCCGCCUUCCGUUUUCUUCCCUGCAGAAACCUAACUACCCGAGGAGACUCUAAGAAGAAGAAGAAGACACGAGUACACGACGAUAUUGAACAAACCUAAGAGGAGAUCGAAGAAGAAGAAAAUCUCAAAUUAAAGUUUACUUGAAGUGAUGUCUAUUACACCUCCAAGCAAAGAAUGGAUGGGUGCGCUAUGACAGUCGACUCAAUUUUUGGAAGGAGUUGAAUCCUUUAUCAGGAAAAGGAAAAUCCCACUGAUGUGAUAUCUAGGACAGACGUGUUGUUGCAGACACAUAAAAUCACCCCAGAUGAUAAUCCCUCAUCUUCUAAAUCACCGACAGCUGCAAAACUAGCAUUGGUGAAGGAGGCAUAUGAUAAAGAUCCUUCAGCACGAAAGUGUUUGGGAACCGACGAUGUUACCAAGAUAUUUGGUGCUGAUCGAAAGGGAUACAUAUGUGGAACGGGUGCUGGUGUUUCUAAAUCUCAGUUUCUUGCUUCUGAGUUUAUGAAGGCCAAGUUGCAAUAAGAGAAGCAGAGAGACAAAGCUUUGAAAGCACAUCUGGAUGCUGAAAGACAGAAAAACAACAUCGGAAUACAUGAUCAGAUCUCUAAUAGCUCUUAUCAGCAGAUAUUGGGGUCCUAGCAGCACUUUCGUCGUUUGGUUUUUGUUGUUUGAGGAACUUGAGGAAAAUAUCUGGUUGCACUUGCGUAUGUUGAUACUAAGCUGCUGAUUGAUGACGAUCACGACUGCAUGCUUGCGGAAAUCAUUGAUCGGAGUGAAAUGUUGUGUGACAAAGAUGAUGAUGUACUCCGGGAUCUACCCAUUGGUGAGUUUAUCAGGUGGCAAAGGCCUUUGCGACUCUGGUAGGAGAGCGAUCAAGUUAGGGCGGCAGGGACAGUAAAUUAUUUACUUUUAAACUUUCAAUAUGUAAGUAGGGGUUUCUAGGAUAUGUCUUCCAAUUUGUAUUUGAAUAUUCUAUUUUCUUUGAGAAAAUAAUUAAAUUAAUAAAAUUAAUUUUAGAUUCUGCUUGGAAUUA